rnacentral:tRNA from 1 species
CGGGACGUAGCUCAGUAGGGUAGAGCACCGCCUUCGGGAGGCGGGGGUCGCAGGUUCAAAUCCUGUCGUCCCGA